AUGUACUUCGAUGGCGCUUGCCGGCAAUCUGGGUCAGGCGCCAGAGUCGUUUUCAUUACACCUAAUGAAGGGGUGAUCCCAUACUCAUUUACCCUAACUUCGGCGGUGUCAAAUAACUCUGCCGAAUAUGAAGCUCUUAUCAUUGGGCUUGAAAUAGCAAUAAACAUGGGGCUCGAUACGCUCUCUGUUUAUGGGGACUCACAAUUAGUGAUUAAUCAAUUGAAGGGGACCUACAUGGUAAAGAAACAAGAGUUGUUGCCAUAUUUCAAAAGGGCGAAAGAGCUUUUAGCUAUGUUCGCAGAUAUAAAUAUUGAACACAUAGUUAGGAACCAAAAUGAAAAGGCCGACACCUUAGCUGGUUUAGCUGCUGGUAUGUCAUUAAACUCAGACGAAAUGAUGGACAUACACAUUGAGGAGCGAAGAAUACUGCCAAUAUUUGCUGAAGAAGAAGAAGCGAUAGUAUCUUCUGCAAUGACAGCUGAUGUAUGUGAAAUCGAGGUAGGGGAUUUGUGA
rnacentral:rRNA from 1 species